CAUAGCUAGACGCCUCGCAUGUUGCAUAGCUAGGGCGUCAUCCGUCAUAACCCUCAAUUAACGAUAAAAUCUCCACUUGUAAACCAUGUACAGCAGAUCAACCCCACGCGCCAACCAUAGUUAAAUCCUACUAGCCACUUGGCAUUUAAUAGGGACUCACCUGUCACAAGUUUAAUGAAUUCUUUCGCCACUUUGGCACUAGUUAAACAACAUUUUACACCCUCCAUAAUGAAAC